GGUGGCUCAGUGGUAGAGCACUUGCCUUGCAAGCAUGAGGCCCUGGGUUUGAUUCCCCAGCACCA
rnacentral:tRNA from 1 species